rnacentral:tRNA from 1 species
GCUCCUGUAGCCCAAUUGGAAGAGGCGACAAGUUUAAGCCUUGUUUAGUGUAGGUUCGAGUCCUAUCAGGAGUACCA